UUUAUGUUUAAAAUAUUUGUUUUGAUUAUUUAAAUUUAAAUAUUAUCAUUUGUGUUUUUAAUAAUUUAACUAGUAGUUAAUUAUAUGAAAAAUGUAAGAGAAAUAUUAUUGUAUAUAGAUACGGGUUCGGGUAAUUGGGUACCAUGAACAACAUUUUGAUAAUUUUUUUAUCUAAUCGGGUUUUUAAAUAAGUUAGGGUAAUUAUAGAAUAGUGAAAAUAUAUUAGGGUUAGGGUUAGGCUUGUAAUUUUUAAAAUUAUUCUGUUAAUUAAUAAGUUUAGGUAUUUGAUUUUUUAUAGGAUUAGGAUUUGAAUACUUCGAAAUUUACAAGUAUUCUACCUGUUGACAACUCUACUCAAAACGAAGACCAGACCUUGAGCAACUUCGUGUAUCCCAUUUUGAUUGAGUUUUCCCACUUUCGUGGAUGAUUGUUUGAUUUCGAGGCUGUUGACCAUAAAAUUUUAAUUUAAAUAUACAAAAUCCUUAAAGUCGCAUUAUUUUGUCACAUCCAAUCAAAUCUACAACAAACUAAAUAGAGAGAUAAACGACCAUUAUUCAUUGUUUUAAGAAACAAAAAGAAGGAAAAGAGGAAAACAUAAGCGACAAUGUUUUAUACGCAAGCAAAUAAAAACUAAAAAGAAACAAUCAUUUCUUAAGAAAGCAGAAUAAUCAUUCAAUUCUAGUUAUUUAUUCAAAUACAAAACAAUCAAAAUGAAAAACAAAAUGUGUGAAAGAGAGACGAAGAGAUUCACUCCUCCCAUGGUGGUAUGUCUGUGUAAAUCUAUGGCUACAGCUAAAACAAAUUGAAAGAAAGGAGGAAAAACUUUAUUUAUAUAGUAUAAGCAAGUUAAAACUAAAACGUUCUAUGCUCCAUUGUAUGUGUGUGAUAGCGUCAUCAUUUUCUUACUUUUCUUUUCUAGAAAUAGUAUAAUCUUCUUUAUCUUCAACUUAAUAAUACUAGGCCAUCACAUCGGCAUGUUUGACUAAAUAUGUAGAUGAGUAAGGUACCUGUUAUUUAUGAAGUGUUUAACCCAAAACCUUUUACCUAUCAAGAUAUCUAAACCUUAUUACAACCCACAUAAAUUUGCGAUACACUAUCCAAAAAAUCGAAUUCUACUAGUAAAGAACUAUCCAUUAAUUGUUCGAAUCUAUUAAACACAUGUUUAAGUUAGCAAAAUUGACAAAGAUUUGGAUUGUUUCCCAUCCUCCUAUGAGUUCAAUUCCUACAUUUAUUAGUUUACAAAAAAGUAGGUUGGUUGAGAUGGUAAAGAUUGUGUUAAUUACUACAUCCUCUAAGAGAGAGAUAAUUUUCUCUACUCAAAUUUAUAUCAUUAAUUAUAUGCACUCAAUAUUUAGUUAAUUACGUAAUGCGUUUUAUUAACCAAUAAGUCUUUUUUCUAAUGCUUUUGAUGAAAUUGCGUUACUCCUACAAUUAUGAGGAUUAUCAAGAGUAACUUCGAUGGGCCUUGGUCGACAUUGAGGCAGGUUCUUCCAGAGCAUAAAAUUAACAUGUGGCGAAAAUUCGAGGAAUCUUUUACAUGGGCUACUAUAAAUACAACAGAGGUGAAGUCCAUAUGGGAGAAGAUUUGCAAGGAUCGCCUUAAAGACCUAUUAGCUAAUUAGUCUGAUCAGGUGAAGAGAGAAAUGGGUGGCCCCGAUUUAGAUCUUGAAUUGAUAAAGGGUAAGGCAUGAUUGUGAAACACUACUGAGGUAUAGGACUAGCUUGUUGAUCUGGUAUGGUCAAUACCCAAGUGGCAAUCAUGCUCACGCAAGGCAAAGUAGAACUACCUUACAGAAAAGGACAAUAGCGUGGCGAAACAUAUCGUUGGUUCCUUGCCUUUUACCCUUCAAUAAAAGAGGAUGGAAAAAAAAAGAAGUCACAAGUUACAUUCUCCGAGCUCUUUAAAUAUACUCACAAGGGGCAGAAGUGUACUAGAGAAUUUAUGGACAAAAAGUCUAAGACUAUUUGUGAAUCAUACGCUUCGGCAAUAGUGAAGAAAUAUGAUGUGGAGUUAUCGAACUAUCUAGAGUUUGAUCUAGAGUCAUGGAUUAAGGCCAUUGGAGGGUAAACAAGUACUCAAACCCACAUAUACAGAUUUGGCACCUGAGUCCCCAUUUUGAGACUUCUAGCUGUAAUGGUGAUGUAUGAGUCUACUUAUAGCCCUAACAAUGCACCACCUCUUACGUCGACUUUUACGCUUGAGCUUGAGGGAUAAUCGACAAUUGCUUAGUGAUGUGAAAGCCUUGAUGGCAGGUUUCACCAAUAUUAAGGUUUUGUUGAAGGAUGUAAUUGGAUCGAUGAGAUCCCAACCUUAGCAAGACGUGGUCGAGCCUUUGUAGCCUCUAGCAUAGCAAUAGCCACCCUCACCCCUUCAAUGAG